rnacentral:rRNA from 1 species
GACGUAGGGGGCCAGCGUUGUUCGGAAUUACUGGGUGUAAAGGGUUCGUAGGCGGUGUGGCAAGUCGGGAGUGAAAUCUCUGGGCUCAACCCAGAGACUGCUUCCGAAACUGCUGUGCUUGAGUGUGAGAGAGGCUCGUGGAAUUGCAGGUGUAGCGGUGAAAUGCGUAGAUAUCAAGUAGAACACCAGUGGCGAAGGCGAGUCCCUGGACAACUCCUGACACUGAGGCACGAAAGCUAGGGGAGCAAACAGG